AGCCAUGUUACUGAAUAUAUGUCUGUGAGUAGGAACACAAAGCAACAAGAUACAGAGGAAGGUAUUCAUUAUGGAUCCAUCUCCUUCCAGCCUAAAGCAACUGGUGGCAGCAACGAUAAUGCACUGUCCUCCAAUCAAGCAUCAGGCACU